AUUGAACGCUGGCGGCAGGCCUAACACAUGCAAGUCGAGCGGAUGAAGGGAGCUUGCUCCUGGAUUCAGCGGCGGACGGGGGAGUAAUGCCUAGGAAUCUGCCUGGUAGUGGGGGAUAACGUCCGGAAACGGGCGCUAAUACCGCAUACGUCCUGAGGGUGAAAGUGGGGGAUCUUCGGACCGCACGCUAUCAGAUGAGCCUAGGUCGGAUUAGCUAGUUGGUGGGGUAAAGGCCUACCAAGGCGACGAUCCGUAACUGGUCUGAGAGGAUGAUCAGUCACACUGGAACUGAGACACGGUCCAGACUCCUACGGGAGGCAGCAGUGGGGAAUAUUGGACAAUGGGCGAAAGCCUGAUCCAGCCAUGCCGCGUGUGUGAAGAAGGUCUUCGGAUUGUAAAGCACUUUAAGUUGGGAGGAAGGGCAGUAAGUCAAUACCUUGCUGUUUUGACGUUACCAACAGAAUAAGCACCGGCUAACUACGUG
rnacentral:rRNA from 1 species